AAUUUCUCUUGAAACAUAGAAAUAAGAAAAAAGGAGGCUUUGGGAGAAGAAAGAAAGAAAAGAGAAGAAAAGUCUAGGAGAUUAGAAGAAGCUCAAGAGAAGGAUUAGAGAUUUCAACUUAUUAAGGUUCUCAGAUUGUAUGUUUGUUGGUGUUCGCGUUGUUGGUGAAAGCUCUGCUCUGAUUGUGACACGGGGAAGGGUUCAUAGAGUCUUUAUUUGUUGUUGUUUUAUUUAAAUUAAAUGUGUAUAUUGUAUAAAAGGAAUUUUGCACAAGUGAUAUUUACUACUCAAUUUUAUUA